ensembl:lncRNA
GUGAGCUGCAGUCCAUGGGGUCAUGAAGAGUCGGACACAACUGAGCGACUUCCCUUUCACUUUGCACUUUCAUGCAUUGGAGAAGGAAAUGGCAACCCCCUCCAGUGUUCUUGCCUGGAGAAUCCCAGGGACGGGGGAGCCUGGUGGGCUGCCGUCUAUGGGGUCGCAGAGUUGGACACGAUUGAAGUGACUUAGCAGCAGUAGCAGCAGCAGCAGGAGAUUGGCUGUGUGGUUAUGUUAUGUUACGUUGUUAAGUUAUGUUAGUCUGCUGCUACGGCUGCUGGGCCAGACAGGAGAGAAUAAGAAGCAAAAUCUGAAUGGUUGGUGAUGGAACAGAUCUACGUGGAAACAAAUUGUACUAGUGUCUCAUUCAGGUUCCCGCUCUAAGAGACUGCUGAUGACUUCACAAGGAAGAACACGGGGAUAAAGUUCUAUUCAACCCCUGGGUUGGGAAGAUCCCCCGGAGAAGGGAAAGGCUACCCACUCCAGUAUUC